CCUGCGCCGCCACUGGCGGCCUCUGGGAGCCGGAAGUGGCAACGUCAUUUAUUAACGCCGGCGCGGAUGCAGCGGACGUGACGUCACGCGGAGCGCGAAUCGCGAGGUUCUGAGACCCAGCACCUGGACUGGGCUGGUGUGGGGGAGCGUGGCUGCAGGUGAAUUUGGCAGAAGAGGAGACUUGGACAUCCAAGGAAACACCAGGGAUGUGCACACACAGCGGGAAGACUAGGCCAAGGCACAGUGAGAAGGCAUCCGUCUACCAGCCAAGGAGCGGCCUCAUCAAAACCAAACUUGCCACACCUUGAUCUUGGACUUUCAGCCUCCAGAACUGUGAGAAAAUACAUUUUCUGUUGUUGAAAACA